rnacentral:rRNA from 1 species
CCUACGGGUGGCAGCAGUGAGGAAUCUUGGUCAAUGGGCGCGAGCCUGAACCAGCCAAGUAGCGUGAAGGAUGACUGCCCUACGGGUUGUAAACUUCUUUUAUAAAGGAGUAAAGUGAGGCACGUGUGCCUUUUUGUAUGUACUUUACGAAUAAGGAUCGGCUAACUCCGUGCCAGCAGCGGCGGUAAUACGGAGGAUCCGAGCGUUAUCCGGAUUUAUUGGGUUUAAAGGGUGCGUAGAUUGGUUGGUAAGUCAGGUGUGAAAGUGUGCGGCUCAACCGUAAAAGUGCAAUUGAUACUGGCAGUCUUGAGUACAGGUGAGGGAGGCGGAAUUCGUGGUGUAGCGGUGAAAUGCGUAGAUAUCACGAAGAACUCCGAUGGCGAAGGCAGCUUACUAAACUGCCACUGACAUUGAUGCUCGAAAGUGUGGGUAUCAAACAGGAUUAGAUACCCGAGUAGUC